rnacentral:sRNA from 1 species
UGAAAUACAAUUUUCAGAUUCUGAGUUGC